rnacentral:rRNA from 1 species
GACGAACGCUGGCGGCGUGCCUAAUACAUGCAAGUAGAACGCUGAAGGAGGAGCUUGCUUCUCUGGAUGAGUUGCGAACGGGUGAGUAACGCGUAGGUAACCUGCCUGGUAGCGGGGGAUAACUAUUGGAAACGAUAGCUAAUACCGCAUAAUAGCAGUUGUUGCAUGACAACUGUUUGAAAGGUGCAAUUGCACCACUACCAGAUGGACCUGCGUUGUAUUAGCUAGUUGGUGGGGUAACGGCUCACCAAGGCGACGAUACAUAGCCGACCUGAGAGGGUGAUCGGCCACACUGGGACUGAGACACGGCCCAGACUCCUACGGGAGGCAGCAGUAGGGAAUCUUCGGCAAUGGACGGAAGUCUGACCGAGCAACGCCGCGGGAGUGAAGAAGGUUGUCGGAUCGUAAAGCUCUGUUGUAAGAGAAGAACGAGUGUGAGAGUGGAAAGUUCACACUGUGACGGUAUCUUACCAGAAAGGGACGGCUAACUACGUG